CGUGUAAGUAAAAGCUUAGCUAAGGUGAAACCGCGAAUGGCUCAUUAAAUCACACCUAAUCUACUGGAAAGUUAAACAGUUACUUGGAUAACUGAGCUAAUUGUUGAGCUAAUACAUGCGAAAAUCCCCGACGCAAGGAGGGGAGCUUUUAUUAGAUCAAAACCAGACGGCUUUCGGGCCGAAUCUCUCUGGUGACUCUGAAUAACUUUGGGCUGAUCGUAUUGCCUUGUGCAGACGACGUUUCCUUCGAAGGUGUGCCCUAUCAACUGUCGACUGUGAUAUAGACGCUCACAGUGGUUUUGACGGGUAACGGGGAAUCAGGGUUCGAUUCCGGAGAGGGAGCCUUAAAAACGGCUACCACAUCCAAGGAAGGCAGCAGGCACGCAAAUUACCCAAUGACCGAAGGUCGAGGUAGUGACGAAAAAUAACGAUACCGGACUCAUCCGAGGCCCGGUAAUUGGAAUGAGUACACUUUAAAACCGUUCCCGAGGAACAAUUGGAGGGCAAGUCUGGUGCCAGCAGCCGCGGUAAUUCCAGCUCCAAUAGCGUAUAUUAAAGUUGUUGUGGUUAAAAAGCUCGUAGUUGGAUCUCGGCGGGCAGCAGUCGGUGAGGACGAUUCCUAUACUGGCUUGUUUGCUCGUGUGUUGUGUCGGAGGCGGGCGAGUGCUCUUCACCGAGUGUUCGUCCGAGCCGGCAGGUUUACUUUGAAAAAAUUAGAGUGCUCAAAGCAAGCUCCACCGCUUGAAUAUUCGUGCAUGGAAUAAUAGAAUAGGAAGUCGUUUCUAUUUUGUUGGUUUUUCGGAAAUCGACUUAAUGAUUAAUAGGGACAGUCGGGGGCAUUUGUAUUCGAACGACAGAGGUGAAAUUCUUGGACCGUUUGAAGACAAACUACUGCGAAAGCAUUUGCCAAGAAUGUUUUCAUUAAUCAAGAACGAAAGUUAGAGUUUCGAAGGCGAUUAGAUACCGCCCUAGUUCUAACCAUAAACGAUGCCAGCUAGCGAUCUGCAGGCGUUUUUUUGACGACCCUGCAGGGAGCUUCCGGGAAACCAAAGCUUGUGGGUUCCAGGGGAAGUAUGGUUGCAAAGCUGAAACUUAAAGUAAUUGACGGAAGGGCACCACCAGAUGUGGAGCCUGUGGCUUAAUUUGACUCAACACGGGAAAUCUCACCAGGCCCGGACACAUGAAGGAUUGACAGAUUGAUAGCUCUUUCUUGAUUAUGUGGGUGGUGGUGCAUGGCCGUUCUUAGUUGGUGGAGUGAUUUGUCUGGUUAAUUCCGAUAACGAACGAGACUCUGUCCUGCUAACUAGUGUCCGAUUCCCCUUUCGAUCGGACAGUUCUUCUUAGAGGGACUGGUAGCUCUUAGCUACACGAGAUAGAGCAAUAACAGGUCUGUGAUGCCCUUAGAUGUUCUGGGCCGCACACGCGCUACACUGAAUAUAUCAGCUAGUUUUUCCCUCUCCGAGAGGUGCGGGUAAGCUGUUGAACCAUAUUCGUGGUAGGGAUUGGAGCUUGCAAUUGUUCUCCAUGAACCAGGAAUAUCCAGUAGAUGCAAGUCAUAAGCUUGCAUCGAUUACGUCCCUGCCCUUUGUACACACCGCCCGUCGCUACUACCGAUUGAGCGUUUUAGUGAGGACCUCGGACUGACGAGGGCGUGGUUAACGCCGUGCCCCCGUCGGAAAGACGUCCAAACUGUAGCGCUUAGAGGAAGUAAAAGUCGUAACAAGGUUUCCGUAGGUGAACCU
rnacentral:rRNA from 1 species